rnacentral:rRNA from 1 species
GGUUAACGCUGGCGGCGUGCCUUACACAUGCAAGUCGAACGGGGCUAUCAGCGAUGGUAGCUUAGUGGCGAACGGGUGAGGAAGACGCAGGGACCUACCGACCAGAGGGGGAUACCCGCUGGAAACGGCGGAUAAAACCGCAUACGCCCGGGUGAAAGCCCGGGGAAAAGCACUACGGUGUUACUGGACGAGGGACCUGCGGCCCAUCAGGUAGUUGGGGAGGUAACGGCUCACCAAGCCGACGACGGGUAUCUGGCGUGAGAGCGCGAACAGGCACAAGGACACUGAGAGACGGGUCCUACUCCUACGGGAGGCAGCAGUGGGGAAUAUUGGUCAAUGGGCGCAAGCCUGAACCAGCCAUGCCGCGUGCAGGAUGACGGCCCUACGGGUUGUAAACUGCUUUUCCCCGGGGCGAAUAACCCCCUCGCGAGGGGAGUGCCGGUACCGGGGAAGUAACGGAGUCGGCGUAACUCCGUG